rnacentral:rRNA from 1 species
UGGAACUCUUGGUGGACCGCUGGAAUGCGUAGAUAUCAAGAUGAACGCCGGAGUGAAGACGGCGCUCUGGGCUUGUCCUGACGCUGAGGUGCGAAAGCCAGGGGAGCGAACGGGAUUAGAUACCCCGGUAGUCCUGGCCCUUAACGAUGUCCACUAGUUCGAUGGUUCUCUGACGGCUUGUCGGCCGAAACCAAAGCCGUUUAACGUGGACCGCCUGGGCGAGUUACAGGUCUGCAAGGCUAAAACUCAAAGGAAUUGACGGGGACUCACACAAGCGGUGGAGCAUGUCGCUUAAUUCGAUGCAACGUCGAAGAACCUUAUCCUGGGCUUGACAUGUAUGGAUGCCUACCUGGAAACAGGAUCGGUUGCCCUUCGGGGUGAAACGUACACAGGUGCUGCAAUGGCUGUCGUCAGCUCGUGUCGUGAGAUGUUGGGUUAAGUCCCGUAACGAGCGAAACCCUUGUCGCUAGUUGCCAGCGGGUAAUGCCGGGGACUCUAGCGAGACUGCCAGGUGUCACACCGGAGGAAGGUGGGGAUGACGUCAAGUCCUCAUGGCCUUUAUGCCCAGGGCUGCAAACGUGCUACAAUGGCCGAGACAAAACGACGCAAGACCGCGAGGUGGAGCUAAUCGGAAAAAAUCGGCAUCAGUUCGGAUUGGAGUCUGCAACUCGACUCCAUGAAGUUGGAUCGCUAGUAAUCGC